UACGUAGGGGGCGAGCGUUGUCCGGAUUCAUUGGGCGUAAAGAGCUCGUAGGCGGUCUGUCGCGUCGGCUGUGAAAUCCCGAGGCUCAACCUCGGGUCUGCAGUCGAUACGGGCAAACUAGAGUAUUGCAGGGGAGACUGGAAUUCCUGGUGUAGCGGUGAAAUGCGCAGAUAUCAGGAGGAACACCGGUGGCGAAGGCGGGUCUCUGGGCAAUAACUGACGCUGAGGAGCGAAAGCGUGGGGAGCGAACAGG
rnacentral:rRNA from 1 species